UACGUAGGUGGCAAGCGUUGUUCGGAAUUAUUGGGCGUAAAGGGCGCGUAGGCGGCCUUCUAAGUCGGACGUGAAAUCCCUCGGCUUAACCGAGGAACUGCGUCCGAUACUGAAAGGCUUGAAUCCGGGAGAGGGAUGUGGAAUUCCAGGUGGAGCGGUGAAAUGCGUUGAUAUCGGAAGGAACGCCGGUGGCGAAAGCGACGGACUGGAUCUCUUCUGACGCUGAGGCGCGAAAGCCAGGGGAGCAAACGGG
rnacentral:rRNA from 1 species